GAAGGUGGCAAGCGUUGUUCGGAAUCAUUGGGCUUAAAGCGCACGUAGGCGGACUGGAAAGUGUCUUGUGAAAACCCACGGCUUAACCGUGGAAUUGCUUGGCAAACUAUCAGUCUUGAGGCAAGUAGGGGUACAUGGAACUCUUAGUGGAGCGGUGGAAUGCGUAGAUAUUAAGAGGAACGCCAAUGGUGAAGACAGUGUACUGGGCUUGUACUGACGCUGAGGUGCGAAAGCGUGGGGAGCGAACGGGGAUUAGAUACCCCGGUAGUCCACGCCGUAAACGAUGUCUACUAGAUCGUGGGAGUUCUGACACUUUCACGGUCGAAGCAAAAGUGAUAAGUAGACCGCCUGGGGGAGUACGGUCGCAAGGCUA
rnacentral:rRNA from 1 species